rnacentral:rRNA from 1 species
UACGUAGGGACCAAGCGUUGUUCGGAUUUACUGGGCGUAAAGGGCGCGUAGGCGGCAAUUCAAGUCAGCUGUGAAAUCUCCGAGCUUAACUCGGAACGGUCAGCCGAUACUGCUUUGCUAGAGUGCAGAAAGGGCAAUCGGAAUUCUUGGUGUAGCGGUGAAAUGCGUAGAUAUCAAGAGGAACACCUGAGGCGAAGGCGGGUUGCUAGGCUGACACUGACGCUGAGGCGCGAAAGCUAGGGUAGCAAACGGG